AUUGAACGCUGGCGGCAGGCCUAACACAUGCAAGUCGAACGAGUGGCGUACGGGUGAGUAAUGUCUGGGAAACUGCCCGAUGGAGGGGGAUAACUACUGGAAACGGUAGCUAAUACCGCAUACCAUCGGAUGUGCCUAGAUGGGAUUAGCUAGUAGGUGGGGUAACGGCUCACCUAGGCGACGAUCCCUAGCUGGUCUGCGAGGAUGACGAGCCACACUGGAACUGAAACACUGUCCAGACUCCUACGGGGGGCAGCAGUGGGGAAUAUUGCACAAUAGGCGCAAGCCUGAUGCAGCCAUGCCGCGUGUAUGAAGAAGGCCUUCGGGUUGUAAAGUACUUGCAGCGAGGAGGCGUUACUCGCAGAAGAAGCACCGGCUAACUCCGUGCCAGCAGCCGGGGUAAUAC
rnacentral:rRNA from 1 species